CUGCCGGAGAUUGGCAGGGAUGUGUCAGCUGACCGGAGUUCGCCACGAACGGUUUGUGGCGAACCGUUCACGGCAAGUUCGCGAACGGUUCGUGACAUCACUAAUUGCAAACAAGUGGUUUUAGCAAGGACACAUGAAAAGCAUUAGGUAUAUGUAAGGAUGCAGAAAGGGCCAGAGAAUAAGAAACAGGGUUGAUUCUUCUAACCACA